rnacentral:rRNA from 1 species
AUUGAACGCUGGCGGCAGGCCUAACACAUGCAAGUCGAACGAGUGGCGGACGGGUGAGUAAGGGCUGGGCAACUGCCUGAUGGCGGGGGGUAACUACUGGAAACGGUAGCUAAUACCGCAUAACAUCAGUUGUUCCCAGAUUGGAGUAGCUAGUUGGUGGGGUAACGGCUCACCAAGGCGACGCUCCCUAGCUGGUCUGAGAGGAUGACCAGCCACACUGGAACUGAGACACGGUCCAGACUCCUACGGGAGGCAGCAGUGGGGAAUAUUGCACAAUGGGGGCAAGCCUGAUGCAGCCAUGCCGCGGGUAUGAAGAAGGCCUUCGGGUUGUAAAGUACUUUCAGCGGGGAAGCGUUACCCGCAGAAGAAGCACCGGCUAACUCCGUGCCAGCAGCCGCGGUAAUAC